GAUGAACGCUGGCGGCGUGCCUAAUACAGGCAAGUCGAGCGAACAGACGAGGAGCUUGCUCCUCUGACGUUAGCGGCGGACGGGUGAGUAACACGUGGAUAACCUACCUAUAAUACUGGGAUAACUUCGGGAAACCGGAGCUAAUACCGGAUAAUAUAUUGAACCGCAUGGUUCAAUAGUGAAAGACGGUUUUGCUGUCACUUAUAGAUGGAUCCGCGCCGCAUUAGCUAGUUGGUAAGGUAACGGCUUACCAAGGCAACGAUGCGUAGCCGACCUGAGAGGGUGAUCGGCCACACUGGAACUGAGACACGGUCCAGACUCCUACGGGAGGCAGCAGUAGGGAAUCUUCCGCAAUGGGCGAAAGCCUGACGGAGCAACGCCGCGUGAGUGAUGAAGGUCUUCGGAUCGUAAAACUCUGUUAUUAGGGAAGAACAAAUGUGUAAGUAACUAUGCACGUCUUGACGGUACCUAAUCAGAAAGCCACGGCUAACUACGUG
rnacentral:rRNA from 1 species